UACGUAGGGUGCGAGCGUUGUCCGGAAUUAUUGGGCGUAAAGAGCUCGUAGGCGGUGUGUCGCGUCGACCGUGAAAACCUGGGGCUUAACUCUGGGCGUGCGGUCGAUACGGGCAUCACUGGAGUUCGGCAGGGGAGACUGGAAUUCCUGGUGUAGCGGUGAAAUGCGCAGAUAUCGGGAAGAACACCCGUGGCGAAGGCGGCUCUCUGGGACGGUACUGACGCUGAGACGCGAAAGCGUGGGGAGCGAACAGG
rnacentral:rRNA from 1 species